GUACACGCUGUGACUAGCAUAUCAAUAAGCGGAGGAAAAGAAACUAACAAGGAUUCCCCUAGUAACGGCGAGUGAAGCGGGAAGAGCUCAAAUUUGAAAUCUUAAAGGGUUCCCUUUACGAAUUGUAGUUUAAAGAAGUGUUUUCUGUUGAGGUUUUGGUAAAAGUUCUUUGGAAUAGGACAUCAUAGGGGGUGAGGAUCCCGUAUUUGACCUUUACUUUCAACUUUGUGAUACACUUUCAAAGAGUCGGAUUGUUUGGGAAUGCAGUCCAAAAUGGGUGGUAAAUUUCAUCUAAAGCUAAAUAUUGGCGAGAGACCGAUAGCGAACAAGUACCGUGAGGGAAAGAUGAAAAGAACUUUGAAAAGAGAGUUAAACAGUACGUGAAAUUGUCAAAAGGGAAGCGUUUGACACCAGUGUUGUUUUUCUGAAAAUCAAUUAAAGAACUGUUUAUGCUAAGCUGUUUAGACUUUAUCAGCUAACUGUUUAGUUUUGAGCUUUUCUUUAAUGCACUUUUCAGUUAACAAGUCAACAUCAAUUUCUUUUGCUGUAAAAAAGCUUGAGGAAGGUGGCUUGAGAUUCGUCUUAAGUGUUUAUAGCCUCUUGCCUAUGCAGUCGGAGAGAUUGAGGUCUGCAGCGUAGAUCCUUCGGGGCUAAAUGCAUUUGUGCUAAGUUAUAGCAUUUUAUAGACAACUUGUUGACUAUGAUUUGUCUUGUAGCUUACUCGCUUAUGUUAUUUUACCUACGCUUAGGAUGUUGAGUCGUAGAGCACGCAG
rnacentral:rRNA from 1 species